GUCAUAAGGAAGUCUACCUUCUCGUCGAUGACUAGCUCGAUGCUGCAGUUGUGUGUCUAGUUCUUUGACCUGAGGUGCAUCGACAGUUCACUUUGAGUGUGUUAUAGUUUGACUACACCAUAACUCGAUCUCCUAGCCAUUCGGAACCUUGAGGUGUAUGUUGGCUGUAGCAUAUCCAUUGUAGGAACCAGAUCGCACCA
rnacentral:lncRNA from 1 species